ensembl:lncRNA
GCAAGCUAGUGCUACUAUUAUAGCUCUGCUACUAUUGGUGUGAGUGUGUGUGUGUGAAUGGGUGAAUGAGAAACAGUGUAAAGCGGUUUGGAGCAAAUAAGGUUAAAAAAGCGCUAUAUAAGUGCAGACUAUUUACCAUUUAUUGAGUUGAAAAGGGCUCCAGUCGCUGUGGUGGUUUUUCCCAUAGCUUUAUCGGAAAAAAGGCUCCUGCCACCAUGAUGGUGUUCCAUUGGCUUUAUAGUAAUAACUGCAUUAGAAACCUACUCCCCUUUCUCCCAGCUGAUACUAGUGAAACGACUCAACCCCAGGAAGGUUGGAGAAGCCGCCUUUGAACCUCCCACAACUGUGAUAGCCCUCGCUCGCACAGCCGUACUCAUUGACUCUCAACCCCGGUGGAUUCACACCAGUAGACUGAAACAGUGCCUGACCAGAACCAGCUCAUCUGAGAAUGGAUGAAAAUUCACAAUCAAGCAGCCCUUAGGGGGCCUCCUCUUGUCUCACCUAAGCACAUACACAUAUAGAUUUUCUUGUAUUAGCCUUGAGAACACACACAAGUAACAAGCAACAACUCAUGCCCUGUCUGAUGGGAGCAUGUGAGGGGUGGGAGCUGUUGAAGCUCAUGGAUCCCUCAUGGGCGUUCCUUGCUGUUUAUGGGAAGAGUGUAUGUAGGUCCAGUUGGGACCUAAGAAGGCAUUGAUAAGUUUACUGUGA